rnacentral:tRNA from 1 species
UUCUAACGCUAAACUAUUUUC